GGUAAAUGUUCCAUGAUAAUGGGUUAGGUAAAUGUUUCAUGAUAAUGGGUUAGGUAAAUGUUUCAUGAUAAGAAUUUCAUGUCUUUUGUAUUAAAGAAUUAAAUGGAUGAAAUAUGAAGUUUCAUUAAAAGAAAAAGGGGUGAAAAGAACAAAGUUUUGUCCAUCUUUGUUCAUCAUAGCUGAAAGUUAGAGAAGAGAAAGGAGAGGAGAAAGCUCUUGAGUAUUUGGUCAUUAGGAGGAGGAAAAUUGAAGGCGGUUCGUGUGUGGAUCUCGUCAGCAUAUCGUCGCAAACAGGUGUGUAACUGACACCCUCUCAUAGACUAGAUUGGCAAAAGCCGAAAAGCCAAAAUGCCGAAAAGUCAGUAUUGUGGGAAUUUGCGAGUGUGCAAAUGCUCGUAAGAUAGUUGGGUUUGUAUAUUUGGUAAUCUAAAGUAAUAAACUGCAGUGCGCGCGAUUUCGUACAUUUUGAUAAUUUGGGCUUAAUGGGCCAAAGAUCGAUUCAUGGGCCAACAGGCCCCAAUUCGGUAAGUAUGCGCGGUAAGUGUUCUGAUAGUAAGUAAAUAGUUAGGAUAUGCAUAAAAACCCUAAAAGUAGCUAAAUUACUAUAAUACCCCUAUGUAUGGAAAAUUACUGUUAUACCCCUAGGUGUAAAAUUACCGUUAUACCCUUAGGGUUAAUUUUGACUGAAAAGCAUGACGAUCUGAUUCUGUAUGAUGUAUGCCAUAAUUAUAUAUCUAUUGCAUGGGGACAUGGGUUAUAUUA